rnacentral:rRNA from 1 species
AUCAACUUUCGAUGGUAGGAUAGAGGCCUACCAUGGUGGUGACGGGUGACGGAGAAUUAGGGUUCGAUUCCGGAGAGGGAGCCUGAGAAACGGCUACCACAUCCAAGGAUGGCAGCAGGCGCGCAAAUUACCCAAUCCCGACACGGGGAGGUAGUGACAAUAAAUAACAAUACGGGGUUCUUUAGGAUUUCGUAAUUGGAAUGAGUACAAUUUAAAUCUCUUAACGAGGAACAAUUGGAGGGCAAGUCUGGUGCCAGCAGCCGCGGUAAUUCCAGCUCCAAUAGCGUAUAUUAAAGUUGUUGCAGUUAAAAAGCUCGUAGUUGAAUUUCGGGGUCAGUAGAUCGGUCAUGCCACUGGUAUGUACUGGUCUCACUGAUUCCUCCUUCCUGAUGAGCCGUAAUGCCAUUAAUUUGGUGUUGCGAGGAAUCUGGACUGUUACUCUGAAAAAAUUAGAGUGUUUAAAGCAGGCUAACGCUUGAAUACAUUAGCAUGGAAUAAUGAAAUAGGACGUUCGAUCUUAUUUUGUUGGUUUCUAAGAUUGACGUAAUGAUUAAUAGGGAUAGUUGGGGGCAUUAGUAUUCAAUUGUCAGAGGUGAAAUUCUUGGAUUUAUUGAAGACUAACUACUGCGAAAGCAUUUGCCAAGGAUGUUUUCAUUAAUCAAGAACGAAAGUUAGGGGAUCGAAGACGAUCAGAUACCGUCGUAGUCUUAACCAUAAACUAUGCCGACUAGGGAUCGGAUGAUGUUAAUUUUUUAAUGACUCAUUCGGCGCCUUACGGGAAACCAAAGUGUUUGGGUUC